UGCUUGCUUCCCCUUCACCUUCGGCCAUGAUUCUAAGUUUCCUGACGCCUCCCAGUCGUGCUUCCUAUUAAGCCUGUGGAACUGACCCAAAAUCAAAUCAG